UUGUACUCUGCAAAAUAUUUGCCAGUUAUCCAGUACUAUGGAGUGGUAAGGUAUAGUGUCCUAUACAGUGAUCAGGGAAUACACCUGUACUGUAGAGGGUACCUGAGUUCACUGAAUAGAAAGUGCUGAGUCAGGGUCACUGAGGCGUAACCAAAUCAUGCAACACAGGUAAGUGCUACCUGUGUGUGCGGCCAUUUCAACCCCAGACCUGGACCUGGAAGGUUCACGGAUGUCAGAGGCUGUGUGCCAGGGGAGAAAUGCCUAAGCUGUGUGCUUGGUAAUGAAAUGUUACCAGGGCUGUGUGCCCAAAGUUAUUAUCCAAGUUAGAGAUAGUUGAAGCCACUACAUGUAAGCUGUGUGCUAGUUUGGGCAAAACUUUGCUACUUGGAGAAGCUGUGUGCUAUGUCCACCUCAAUGGAGUGUGGGAGUCCUGGAAUGAAACAGGAGAGUGAGCUGUGUGCUCAGAAAUGCUAAAGAGAGACGCCAACAGUGACCUUGGGACAGGGAGCCAUUAGCCAUAGAAAGGUCUAUGUGCCAGACCAUAGUGGGAGCAGCAGAAUCCCUGGUCUAUUUAUGUGAAACCAGAAAGGAGAUAUUUGUGCUGGACUAGUACAGUGCCUACGGAGGGUAUACAUAUAUAUACCGAUUAUGAAAUAGUUAAACAACAUCGGAGUGAAGAGAACUUUGGGAACCAACCACAGUGAUGAACUAUAUAUAUUUGGGGUCUGGAGAGACAAUGGGUUUCAGAGACGGGUUUUGUUUUGUGUUGCACAUUAUUAAUUAAUUGUAGAGAAUGAGUGGGAGUGUGUAAGGGUGUUUUGUAUGGUGUAAAUAUUGUUUUCCUAUGAUUUUGUAAAUAUGUUCAAGUGAAUACAUAUGUUAAUGUAAUUUAUGUUGUUGUCUCAUCUGUUUGCAAAUAAUUAGGCUAAGCCUAUACCCACAAUUCUUAUUGCCUUUUGUGCUCAAUAAAAUGUGAAAAGUAA